AUGAGCCUCUGGGUAGACAAGUACCAGCCCUAAUCCUUGGGAUGGAUGGAGUAUCACAGGGAGCAGGCAGCCCAGCUAUACAACCUGGUGCAGGGUGGUGAGUUUCCUCACCUUUAAGUGUAUGGACCAUCAGGUUCUGGAAAAAAGACAAGUGCUAUGUGUGUUCUACAUCAACUUUAUGGUGUUGGAGUGGAAAAAUUGAGAAUUAAAUACCAGACCAUCAGGACUCCAUCUAAAAAAAUUGAAAUUAGCACCAUUGCAAGUAAUUACCACCUUGAAGUUAAUCCCAGUGAUGCUGGAAAUAUUGAUGAGGUAGUAAUUCAGAAGAUGUUGAAAACAGUGGCUCAGUCACAGCAACUUGAAACAAACUGUCAGAUAUUUUAAAAUGGUAUUAUUGACAGAAGUUGACAAACUCAUCAAAGAUGCUCAACAUGCCUUGUAAAGAACCAUGGGAAAGUAUAUGUCCACCUACAGAUUGAUCUUGUGCCACAGUUCUACAUCUAAUGUGAUACUACCUAUUUGUAGUAGGUGCUUGGCAGUUGGUGUGCCUGCUCCCAGCAUUGGAGAUAUUUACCAUGUGUUAUUUACUGUGUACAACAAGGAAGAUCUGAAUCUUCCUUCACAACUGACUCAUAGACUUGCAGAAAAGUCCUGCAGAAACCUCACAAAAGCCCUGCUUAUG
rnacentral:lncRNA from 1 species